rnacentral:rRNA from 18 species
CGUGAGAAUCUACCUUCAGGUCUAGGACAACCAUUGGAAACGAUGGCUAAUACCGGAUGUGCUGAGAAGUGAAAGGCUUGCUGCCUGAAGAAGAGCUCGCGUCUGAUUAGCUAGUUGGUGGGGUAAAGGCCUACCAAGGCGACGAUCAGUAGCUGGUCUGAGAGGAUGAUCAGCCACACUGGGACUGAGACACGGCCCAGACUCCUACGGGAGGCAGCAGUGGGGAAUUUUCCGCAAUGGGCGAAAGCCUGACGGAGCAAUACCGCGUGAGGGAGGAAGGCUCUUGGGUUGUAAACCUCUUUUCUCAGGGAAGAAAAAAAUGACGGUACCUGAGGAAUAAGCAUCGGCUAACUCCGUGCCAGCAGCCGCGGUAAUACGGAGGAUGCAAGCGUUAUCCGGAAUGAUUGGGCGUAAAGCGUCCGCAGGUGGUUAUGUAAGUCUGCUGUUAAAUAGUCAUGCUCAACAUGAUAAGGGCAGUGGAAACUACAAGACUAGAGUGCGUUCGGGGCAGAGGGAAUUCCUGGUGUAGCGGUGAAAUGCGUAGAUAUCAGGAAGAACACCGGUGGCGAAGGCGCUCUGCUAGGCCGCAUCUGACACUGAGGGACGAACGCUAGGGGA